GUGAAUGGAAUUUUUUUCUUUAUUUCUUUUUCAGCAAAUUCAUUGUUGGAAUAUAAGAAACCUCUUGAGUUUUGUAUGUUGAUCUUGUACCCUGAUACUUUGCUGAAUUUGUUUAUCUAGAAGUCUUCUGCUAUUAAAAAAGAGUUUCUACGUAUAGAAUCAUGCCAUCAGCAAACAGGCAUAAUUUUACUUCUUUUCCUAUUUGUAUCCCUUUAAUUUCCUUCUCUUUCCUGAUUGCUUCAGUUAGAAUAUAUUGAAUAGGCAUGAUCUUGAUCUUAGAGAAAAUGCUUUCAGUUUUUCUCCAGUCAGUUAUGAUGUUGGCUUCAAGUUUACCGUGUACAGCUUUUAUGCUCUUGAGUGAAAUUCCUUUUAUUCCUAGUUUCUUCAGUGUUUUUGCUCAUGAAUGGGUGCUAGAUUUUGCUGAAGACUCUCUGCCUAUAUUGAGAUGAUUGUGUGACUUUUGUCCUUACUUCUAUUUAUGUGGUGAAUUAUAGUUAUUUAUUUGCAUAUGUUGAAGCAAACUUGCAUUCCUGGAAUGAAAUCAACUUGAUCGCG
rnacentral:lncRNA from 1 species